AGAGCGAACGCUGGCGGCAGGCCUAACACAUGCAAGUCGAGCGCCCGUAGCAAUACGGGAGCGGCAGACGGGAGAGUAACACGUGGGAACGUGCCCAUCAGUUCGGAACAACCCAGGGAAACUUGGGCUAAUACCGGAUACGCCCUUACGGGGAAAGAUUUAUCGCUGAUGGAGCGGCCCGCGUCUGAUUAGCUAGUUGGUGAGGUAAUGGCUCACCAAGGCGACGAUCAGUAGCUGGUCUGAGAGGAUGAUCAGCCUCACUGGGACUGAGACACGGCCCAGACUCCUACGGGAGGCAGCAGUGGGGAAUAUUGGACAAUGGGCGCAAGCCUGAUCCAGCCAUGCCGCGUGGGUGAUGAAGGCCCUAGGGUUGUAAAGCCCUUUCGGCGGGGAAGAUAAUGACGGUACCCGCAGAAGAAGCCCCGGCUAACUUCGUGCCAGCAGCCGC
rnacentral:rRNA from 1 species